GCGGUCGUGGCGAAGCAGGUUAACGCAUCGGAUUGUGGCUCCGACAUUCGCGGGUUCGAGCCCCGUCGAUCGCC
rnacentral:tRNA from 1 species